rnacentral:rRNA from 1 species
GACGUAGGUGGCGAACGUUAUCCGGAAUUAUUGGGCGUAAAGGGUGCGUAGAUGGUCGGAAAAGUUAGUGGUGGGAAAUCGAGGCCUAACCUCGUGGAAACUAUUAAUACUAUCAGACUAGAGGGCAGGAGAGGUUAACGGAACUCCAUGUGGAGCGGUAAAAUGUGACGAUAUAUGGAAGAACACCGGUGGCGAAGGCGUCCAUCUGGCCCGUUACUGACGCUGAUGCGCGAAAGCUAGGGGAGCAAACGGG